rnacentral:rRNA from 1 species
AUUGAACGCUGGCGGCAUGCCUUACACAUGCGAGUCGAACGGCAGCACGGGUGCUUGCACCUGGUGGCGAGUGGCGAACGGGUGAGUAAUACAUCGGAACAUGUCCUGUAGUGGGGGUAGGCCGGCGGAAAGCGGGUUAAUAACGCCUACCGACCAAGGGAGAAAACGGGGGGCCUUCCGGGCUCGCGGCUUAGGGGUGGGCGGUGGGUGGUUAGCCAGGUGGUGGGGGAAAGGGCUUACCAGGGGGCGGACAAGAAGCGGGCUGGAGGGGCGAACCGGCACACUUGGACUGAGACACGGCCCAGACUCCUACGGGAGGCAGCAGUGGGGAAUUUUGGACAAUGGGCGAAAGCCUGAUCCAGCAAUGCCGCGUGUGUGAAGAAGGCCUUCGGGUUGUAAAGCACUUUUGUCCGGAAAGAAAUCCUUGGCCCUAAUACGGUCGGGGGAUGACGGUACCGGAAGAAUAAGCACCGGCUAACUACGUG